UAGUCUAAACACAGGCCCAGCUGAAGAGAGAAAAGAGGCCGAUUCACUUUAGCCCAUUAUGGAAUACGACGACGUGUAGUCUAAUAGUUAGUCACAGACUCGCUAGUCACUUUCCCUCGUAGAAACCCUCAGGCCUCAGCUUCUUUCCUGAGCUGCAACUCGAAGUGGUCAUAGCCGUCAAUGGCGUUAUUCAAAUCAAAGCUGCGCAUAUCGCACUCCAUCUUUCCUUUCUCUCAACCUAAUCUUAAACCCUUCUCUGCUUCAUCUUCUUCUCCCUCCAUUGAAACCUCACUGUCUCAUCUCCAAGAAGAUGACUUAAACGACGAUGAUGAAAAAGCCGUAUCCACCCCAACUGCUGCUCUUUCUCUUGAAGAAAGCAUAGUAGCAGACAAAUUCCACUCUCUAAUCAAAGACCAUCACUGCAAGAACCCAAAUUCUGACUCCGCCACCCCAUCUCUUUCCGUUGAUUUCUCCCAAAUCCUUACCGUCCAUUCCGUCUCCAUUUCCUCCUCCAUCGUCUGCCACGUGAUCGAGAAAUGCGGUGCCGUCCGCCAUGGUAUCCCGGUCGUCCAGGCCGGCGCUUUCUUCAACUGGGCUACUGGUACAGAUGGGUUCGUCCACUCCUCCGAGCCCUACAAUGAGAUGGUGGAUCUCGCUGGCAAGGUAAGGAAAUUCGAUUUGGCAUGGCAUAUAAUCGAUUUAAUGAAAGCUAGAAAUAUCGAAAUUACUACCAAGACUUUCUCCAUUCUUAUUCGCCGGUACGUCCGGGCUGGAUUGGUUGCAGAAGCUGUCCAUGCAUUUAACCGUAUGGAGGACUAUAAUUGCAAGCCUGAUAAGAUUGUCUUUUCAACUUUGAUUAGUUAUCUAUGUAGGAAGAGAAAAGCUAGCGAAGCUGAGUCCUUUUUUAAUAGUUUAAAGGGCAAAUUUGAGCCUGAUGUCAUUUUGUACACCAACUUGGUUCGUGGGUGGUGCCGGGCCGGAAAUAUAUCGGAGGCUGAAAGGAUAUUUAGAGAAAUGAAAAUGGCUGGCAUUAAGCCCAAUGUGUAUACAUACAGUAUAGUCAUUGAUGGUUUGUGUAGAUGUGGGCAAAUUACCCGGGCUCAUGAUGUUUUAUCAGAUAUGCUUGAGGCUGGAUGUGAACCAAAUGCUGUAACUUUUAAUAAUCUUAUGAGAAUUCAUGUUAAAUCUGGCAGGACUGAGAAAGUUUUGCAAAUCUAUAAUCAAAUGAAGAGGCUUGGAUGCACUCCUGAUACUAUUACUUAUAAUUUUAUCAUAGAGACACACUGUAAGGAUAAGAAUCUUGAUGAUGCUAUUAAAGUGCUCAAUUCGAUGGUUAAGAAAGGGUGUAAGCCAAAUGCUUCUACUUUCAAUUCUUUAUUCGGAUGCAUUGCAACGUUACAAGAUGCGAAUGCAGCUCGUAGAAUGUAUGACAAUAUGAAGGAGCUGAAGUGUAAGCCCAAUGCAAUGACUUACAAUAUCCUGAUGCGAAUGUUUGCUGGGUCGAAAUCAACUGAUAUGGUUCUGAAGUUGAAGAAGGAAAUGAAUGAGAAUGAUGUCCAGGCUAAUUUAAAUACCUACCAGGUUCUGAUUUCAAUGUUUUGUCAAAUGGGGCAUUGGAAUAAUGCCUACAAAUUUUUAAGAGAGAUGAUAGAGAAGUCCCUGAAACCAAGCCCGCAAAUUUACGAGAUGGUUCUGCAGCAGCUGAGCAAGGCUGGGCAGUUCAAGAUGCGUGAAGAUAUGGUACAGAAGAUGGAAGAAGCUAUGCAUUCUGCACCCAUUGGCUAAAUUAGGUGAUCUUCAUCUCUUUUUGUAGCUUAAUUUCUUAUUACCAUAUACUUUGUUGUUUGAUUAUCAAGGCAAUAAUUUUUUAUAUCAUAGUAAGACUUUAUAACAUUAUGGACAUCUUGUGAACUGAUUUUUGAUAAUUCUCUCACACGAUUUGAAGAAUCAAAUUUCUAUAGUUGAUCAUAUGUCACUGGAUGAAAAAUCCUAACUUGUUUUAUUCCUAAGUUAUAUUAUUAACAACUUGUAGAGUUGCAAACGCUGUCCCAUAGCUUAGCCUAUGGUAAUUUUCUUCCUUGUUGCUAUGUUUAGACUGUUGAUCUUCACUUCAUGAGGAUUAUACUUAGAUAAUCAGUUUUAUUAUCUGUUUUCCCUAUCUGUA
rnacentral:misc_RNA from 1 species